rnacentral:rRNA from 1 species
UACGUAGGGUGCAAGCGUUGUCCGGAAUUAUUGGGCGUAAAGAGCUCGUAGGCGGUCUGUCACGUCGGCUGUGAAAACUCGGGGCUCAACCCCGAGCCUGCAGUCGAUACGGGCAGACUAGAGUCCGGCAGGGGAGACUGGAAUUCCUGGUGUAGCGGUGAAAUGCGUAGAUAUCAGGAGGAACACCGGUGGUGUAGACGGCUCUCUGGACCGUAACUGACGCUGAGGCACGAAAGCGUGGUAGCAAACAGG